CGGAUAAAAGGUACUCCGGGGAUAACAGGCUGAUACCGCCCAAGAGUUCACAUCGACGGCGGUGUUUGGCACCUCGAUGUCGGCUCAUCACAUCCUGGGGCUGAAGUCGGUCCCAAGGGUAUGGCUGUUCGCCAUUUAAAGUGGUACGCGAGCUGGGUUUAGAACGUCGUGAGACAGUUCGGUCCCUAUCUGCCGUGGGCGUUUGAGAAUUGAGAGGGGUUGCUCCUAGUACGAGAGGACCGGAGUGAACGAACC
rnacentral:rRNA from 1 species